rnacentral:rRNA from 1 species
GUCUAUGGUCAUACCACUCUGAGCACACCUGAUCUCCUCUGAUCUCAGAAGUUAAGCAGGGUCAGGGCCUCAUUAGUACUUGCCUGGGGAAGUUGAGGUAAGUAAUUC